rnacentral:rRNA from 1 species
UACAGAGGGUGCAAGCGUUAUUCGGAAUUACUGGGCGUAAAGGGCGCGUAGGCGGCCUCGAAAGUCUGAUGUGAAAGCCCUGGACCCAAUCCAGGAAGUGCAUCGGAAACUGCGGGGCUCGAGUGCAGGAGAGGAGGACGGAAUUCCUGGUGUAGAGGUGAAAUUCGUAGAUAUCAGGAGGAACAACAGUGGCGAAGGCGGUUCUCUGGACUGUAACUGACGCUGAGGCGCGAAAGCGUGGGGAGCAAACAGG